UACGAAGGGGGCUAGCGUUGUUCGGAGUUACUGGGCGUAAAGGGCGCGUAGGCGGCCCUCCAAGUCGGGCGUGAAAGCCCACGGCUCAACCGUGGAAUUGCGCUCGAGACUGAAGGGCUCGAGGACGGGAGAGGAUGGUGGAAUUCCCAGUGUAGAGGUGAAAUUCGCAGAUAUCAGGAAGAACACCCGUGGCGAAGGCGGCUCUCUGGGACGGUACUGACGCUGAGACGCGAAAGCGUGGGGAGCAAACAGG
rnacentral:rRNA from 1 species